rnacentral:RNase_P_RNA from 1 species
CAAGCAGGCCAGGCAAUCGCGGGUGCGCGAUGAGCGUGCCUGAGGAAAGUCCGAGCUCCGCAGGGCAGGGUGCUGGGUAACGCCCAGUGGGGGUGACCCCAGGAAAGUGCCACAGAAACAUACCGCCUGCCGCAAGGCCGGCAAGGGUGAAAUGGCGAGGUAAGAGCUCACCGGCAGUCGGGUGACCGGCUGGCCGCGGUAAACCCCACCCGGAGCAAGACCAAGCAGGGGCGGGUGGCCCGCCUAUGUCCCGGGUUGGUCGCAUGAGGCGUCCGGUAACGGCCGCCCUAGAGAGAUGAUUGCCAGUCCGUUCGCGGACACAGAACUCGGCUUACAGGCCUGCUUGACAC